GAAACUUGGUUAGUGGCUCUCUUGGCAUGUUCGUAGCCCUGUGGUUGAAGUGGCUGAAACCUGCGUUGAGCCUCAGUCCAAGCAGCUGGGGCCACACCAGUUUGCAAAAGCGGAUGUGGCAGUUUCCACCGCAGCAGCAGCCUGCUGGCGCCUCAUCAGAUUCUCCUUUGGAGGAAGUAUCUUCUUCCCUUCAUUCUCGGUGAAUGGCAUCCAGAGAUAACCAAAAUCAGGUGUAUCUAGUUUCAAGUUCUGUCUUGCAACCGUGAUAAUUGGAGGAUGCAAACUUUACACUUUCUUCUCUAGCUGUCUACCACCACUGCUGCGCUUGUGGAUGACUGCAGGAACACCGGGUACUUGCCACAAGUAUCUCUCCAGAUUCAUCAGCCUUUCACCUGUGACAAGCUCAGUCAAGAAGUGGCUCCUAAGUAAAAGCUGGGGAAGAACAAGGAAGAUAGAGCUCAGAGUAGAAAGCUGUGAAGUUCUGCACAACAGGUCCCCUUGGCCUGCUCUAACAGUUGGAAGGUGGGGGAAGCAUUCAUUUACUCAACAAAUAUAUACUGAGUGCCUUUUGCAUGCUAGGCACGCUUCUAGGGGUUGAGGACACAGCAGAGAGCACAAACAACAAUUCCAGCCCUCGUGGAGCUUACCUCUUCCACGUGGGAAAGACAGAUGGUAAAUGUAUAAGGACAAUAUAUGGACUGCUGUAUGAUUAGAAAUGCUAUGGAGAGGCUAGGAGUGCUGUCUCAUGCCUGUAAUCCCGCAGUUUGGGAGGCCAAAGGAGGAGGAUCACUUGAGGCCAGAAGUUGGAGACCCAACCUGGGCAACAUAACAGGCAUGGUAGCUCAUGUGGAAGCUUCCCGAGGCCCUCACCCAGAAGCAGAUGCUG
rnacentral:lncRNA from 1 species